UACGUAGGGGGCAAGCGUUAUCCGGAAUUACUGGGCGUAAAGGGUGCGUAGGUGGUUUCUUAAGUCAGAGGUGAAAGGCUACGGCUCAACCGUAGUAAGCCUUUGAAACUGGGGAACUUGAGUGCAGGAGAGGAGAGUGGAAUUCCUAGUGUAGCGGUGAAAUGCGUAGAUAUUAGGAGGAACACCAGUUGCGAAGGCGGCUCUCUGGACUGUAACUGACACUGAGGCACGAAAGCGUGGGGAGCAAACAGG
rnacentral:rRNA from 1 species